GACGAACGCUGGCGGCGUGCUUAACACAUGCAAGUCGAACGAUGAACCCGGAGCUUGCUCCGGUGGAUUAGUGGCGAACGGGUGAGUAACACGUGAGUAACCUGCCCUUGACUCUGGGAUAACUGCGGGAAACUGUAGCUAAUACCGGAUACGACCCUCGGCGGCAUCGCCAGGGGGUGGAAAGAAUUUCGGUCAAGGAUGGACUCGCGGCCUAUGAGCUAGUUGGUGAGGUAACGGCUCACCAAGGCGACGACGGGUAGCCGGCCUGAGAGGGGGACCGGCCACACUGGGACUGAGACACGGCCCAGAGUCCUACGGGAGGCAGCAGUGGGGAAUAUUGCACAAUGGGCGCAAGCCUGAUGCAGCAACGCCGCGUGAGGGAUGACGGCCUUCGGGUUGUAAACCUCUUUCAGCAUCGACGAAGCGAAAGUGACGGUAGGUGCAGAAGAAGGACCGGCCAACUACGUGCCAGCCGCCGCCGUAA
rnacentral:rRNA from 1 species